ACCAAAGAUAGACGACAGCGCGCUAGUGUAACUAGUGUAUGUAUAUCUAUGGCCGGCACGUCUGGUAGCAUCUCUGGCUGCUGUUGAUCUUGUUUUUGGAGUAAAACACGGUAAGAAGGUGGAAGCUGAAUUAGUGAGGAUGACUCCUGCUCCUGUCAUCUCUAAGCUCCUCACACAUCUUUACCUGCACAUGAGGAAAAUCACUCCUGUACAAUGCAGAUGUUCAGAGGGAGAUGAUGCCACAUCUGGUCCAGCUGAUGGAAGGUCUUGAAGUUCUCUGACUGGCCUCGACUGAAGAUGGUCGUCUCACUGGAUUUAAGGUUCAGAUGCUCAGUAACAAACUCCACCAAUGAGCCAACAGGGAAGCUUUAGGUUUAUUAAAUGUUGCUAUGAAGGUAUCGCUGUUUUUCUUUGUGACUGCAAUGUGCUCCAACUGAAACUUGAAUUAGAACUCAGAAGUAAAUCCUUCCAUCUGAAAGGAUUUAGUUGCAUUAAUAACCUCAUAAUAUUCUAAUUUUUAUUCCAGUCUUGGUUGGAAAUAGAAUCUCUGUAUUGAUUCAGGUAAAAACUGAACUUCACAGCAUUUUGGAGCAAAACAACCAGAUGAAAACUGUGAUGGUGUUGGAUUGUCAGACCGUAAUGUUGCAGCUCAAAGCAGCUUUUCUAUCUCAGUUCAUUCUGACAUUCAGCUAUGAAUCAACACAGCAGAUGGUGAUCCAUGCUGUGGAAGUCUCACAUCUCCUGAUUUAAUGGAGCUGCUUUGCACUUUUUACACUGUUUAUUCACCAACACUUUAUUUAAUAAGAGUCCCAUCUAGUUUUUAUGAGGAAUGUGAUGUUUUAAUUUCUUUGUGAAUAACUGCAGUCUAAUGCAACAGCUGGAGUUGUAACAUCUGUCCUGAUAUUGAUCAUCAAGUAUUGAUCAGAAUACUUAUGGUCAGCAGUCAUCCCUGAAGUUUUACAUUAAAAUCUUUACUUGUGUUGUGAACUUUAGUAAGAAGCAGAAAUGUUAGCGUUGCCAUGGAUACAUGAGUGUUAAAUUCUGUCCAUGUUUCCAUUUUGGGAAAUGCAGUCCAGCAGAUGAGUUUGUUUUUAC
ensembl:lncRNA